rnacentral:lncRNA from 1 species
CUCAAUGAUCUAUGCUGGCUCUGGAGGCCUCUUCAAAGCUGAAAUCCACCAUGUAAUGACCGUGGCAUGAACCACAACCGGAAAGAGCAGCAUCUGUGAAUGGUGGAAGACGUGCCUGUUUUCCGCUCUAGGCUCCCUGGAAAAAGGAGCAGAACUCCACUGAGAGACUCCAACGCAUCUAAGCAUUCUCAGCUUCAACCAAACCAGCCACGUCCACGUCCCAAGCCUGGAGUCAGUGCUGGAGGACUGCUUUAGAGGGAGUGUCAACCGAUGUGACUUUGAUGGAACUCUGAAAGAUUGAUGGCAAGCGACGAUAUGUUAACUCAAUAUUCAAGGGAAAGGGAAAGAUAACUUCAUCAACAAAUGAUAGGAGGAAGCAGUGUCGUUGCCCAGAAUCCAGUGAGAGCUGGAGCUGCGGAGGAACAGAGGAUGGAAGGAGGAGUAGCCAUGGAGGCACACAGCCACCGGCAGAAGCUAGAAGUCAAAGCAGGGAGAAAGUGACAGAGAAAACUGUGAUCUCUCUGAUCCUCCUGCCAGCGACUCCAUUAGGUGAACUCAAUAAAGCCAGCUGACUUGGAUCGCCUGAACUUAGAGACUGUGUCUGAUUCACCUCCAAUGCAUGGCACAAUGCAUGACACAAUGGGUGUUCAAUAUCUAUUGAAUAAAUGAAGUAACCUUUAUUCUUCCUAUAUUAGCCCAUGUGAGCCUGCAGAUGUGCCCAAGGGAAGCAUUCCAUAAACAAAUGAUUUGCAUAAAAUCAUCUGUGCCUCUUCAAACUCGUGCAGAUAUUCAGUUUGGGCUCUAUUCAAAUUUUAAGCUCAAGUUCCUGCCAAUUUUAUGUUAUCAAACAGGCUUGCUCAUCUUAGUUAGAAGCCUCAUAAAAUUAUCAUCACUUAGAGAUUGCUCACCCUCCCAGGGAGCUACUGAAACUUUAUCCCAAAUCAAAGAUACAUAAAUUGGUUCCAUUUUGCAUUUGGAAUUCUGAGUAAGCAAGGCGAUUCCAGUCUUAUCAUAUCUCAGUAGUUGGCAGUAGAAGAAGCCACAACACUCAUCCAGUCACUGACCUGGCUCCUCAACAUGGCAGACAUUCCUGCAGAAUAAGAAACCCUCCACAGAACUCAGCUUCCUGGGAUCCAGGCAACAACAGAUGCUUUGCAUUUGAGUUACUCCCGUAUGCUGCCUCCUGAAUUAUCAUAUCUAUUCAUUUUCUGCCACACAUUAAAAUUCUGACUUGUACUGAAAACCAUGCUGAUCUGCACAAAACUGUCUAUUUUGUUGCCUUUCACUGAAGGGAUAAUGAUUCUAUACCUAACAGGCAAACUGUCUCAGAGCAUCUUACUUCUCUGCAUUUUUGCCACAGUCACUUCCACUCUUCUCAUUCCCAACGAGAGAGGAAUAAGAUCAUUAGUAGUUUAGUGUUCCACUGGGACCUGAGAAGUAAUAAUAAUAAUAAUAAUAAUAAUA